UACGAAGGGGGCUAGCGUUGUUCGGAAUUACUGGGCGUAAAGCGCACGUAGGCGGACUUGUCAGUCAGGGGUGAAAUCCCGAGGCUCAACCUCGGAACUGCCUCCGAUACAGCAAGUCUCGAGUCCGGAAGAGGUGGGUGGAAUUCCUAGUGUAGAGGUGAAAUUCGUAGAUAUUAGGAAGAACACCAGUGGCGAAGGCGGCCCACUGGUCCGGUACUGACGCUGAGGUGCGAAAGCGUGGGGAGCAAAC
rnacentral:rRNA from 1 species